GUGGUGUAAAUAGUUAGCACACUUAGCUGCUAACCAAAAGAUUGGAGGUUCAAGUCCUCCC
rnacentral:tRNA from 1 species